rnacentral:misc_RNA from 1 species
AACACCUCAAAUCUCUUUUUUAUUAAAGAGAAUUGGACUUGAGCAAUCCCAACUCUGUAAAAAGAGGCGGGUUGCUUGAAAUGCAGGUGCAGCUGGACAUUCUUCUGAGCUAAAAGCAUAUUUAUUUAGUCCCGUUAAACGGAUUAUUACUUUUGCUCUAGCUAAUAUAAAGGUCGAAUGGACUAUACGCUGACUGAUGCAGGAUUACCAAGUCUCUGUCAAAAGGAGACUUGUAA